UGGCGGGGUAGGGCUGGGGGGCUGGCCGUCCCCCGAUACCCGAAACCGGCCUAUGCGGGGGCCAGUAACCCCUGGGUAAAUGUAUGGUGUAUGCACUCUACAUAUAACUGGCUGAUGACCCUCUCUCCAUAGGGGGUCUCUCUCCCCAUCAGCCCAGCUGGAGAGCUAGGUUGAUGGGGAAAAGGGCGAAUCGGGUUAGGCCCGGGAGGGAGCAGCCCUAAGCCCUUGGGAGCCGCUCUAUGGUCAGGGGGGCGAAGGUACCCAGUUAUAUGUAGAGUGCAUACACCAUACAGGAACCAGGGGAGCCCGCCA
rnacentral:SRP_RNA from 2 species